UACGUAGGGUGCAAGCGUUGUCCGGAAUUAUUGGGCGUGAAGGGCUCGUAGGCGGUCCGUCACGUCGGGAGUGAAAUCCUGGGGCUUAACCCCAGAACUGCUUCCGAUACGGGCAGACUAGAGGUAGGUAGGGGAGAAUGGAAUUCCUGGUGUAGCGGUGGAAUGCGCAGAUAUCGCUUGGAACGCCGAAGGUGAAAACAGGCUGCUGGGGUUGCGCCGACGCUGAGACACGAAAGCCAGGGGAGCAAACGGG
rnacentral:rRNA from 1 species